UACGGAGGGGGCUAGCGUUGUUCGGAAUUACUGGGCGUAAAGCGCACGUAGGCGGCUUUGUAAGUUAGAGGUGAAAGCCCGGGGCUCAACUCCGGAAUUGCCUUUAAGACUGCAUCGCUAGAAUUGUGGAGAGGUAAGUGGAAUUCCGAGUGUAGAGGUGAAAUUCGUAGAUAUUCGGAAGAACACCAGUGGCGAAGGCGACUUACUGGACACAUAUUGUCGCUGAGGUGCGAAAGCGUGGGGAGCAAACAGG
rnacentral:rRNA from 1 species